rnacentral:rRNA from 1 species
CGGCGGACGGGUGAGUAACGCGUGGGUAACCUGCCUCAUACAGGGGGAUAACAGUUAGAAAUGACUGCUAAUACCGCAUAAGACCACAGCACCGCAUGGUGCAGAGGUAAAAACUCCGGUGGUAUGAGAUGGACCCGCGUUGGAUUAGCUAGUUGGUGAGGUAACGGCCCACCAAGGCAACGAUCCAUAGCCGACCUGAGAGGGUGACCGGCCACAUUGGGACUGAGACACGGCCCAA